UUACCAAAAAAAAAUUACAAAUCAGCGCCAGCCGCCAGAUUUAUUUCAUGGCCGCGAAAUAUUUUCCAAAAACUUUCAGUAUCCCCCCCCCCCCCAAAAUAUUUUCCCAAAUCUCCGCCAAAAUGUUCUGAUUAUAACUUUAAUUCUUGUUCUCCAUCUUUCCCAGUCUCUCUCCAAAUCUCUUUUCCCCUUCACGGUGAUGAUAUACACAGCCUUUUUCAAUAUUUAUCUUUUCGUUUUCUAAUAGCUUCAAGACAGAUUCUUCUUUAAUUUUGUAAUUCGGAUUUGGGUAGUGGGUGUUUACAAAUCGUAAUUGAGUUGGGUUAAUUUCUUCAUUCAGCCUCUUCCUUAUUUACUGUGAAAUUAUAUUGUUUAGAUUUGUGUAGUGGAAGUGUUUUAUGACGAAUCGAUUUAGGGUUCUCAUCGGGAAGUACGCGGCUGAGUGAAGGGAGACAAAUUCAAAGCGAGCAAAGAAAGAUACUUCAGCUUCGUCCUUCCCACAGGGGGAAGCAAACCAUAUGUUAUUGCUCUCUUAAAUCGACUUGUCGACGUUUAUUCUCCUGAAGAUUGCAGCUCUCUCUAUAUGUGUUUCUAGAUUUCGAGUUAACCGCCCUCAUUCAAGAAGAGAAGUUCCUCAGCUUAGUUUCAGGCUUCGAUUCGGACUGCGACGUUGAUCCUGACCCGAGCUUUAGGGAGAUUAUGAAAGAUGUUGAGAUCUUUGGUAACACAGUCCUCUCGGUCCUUACUCUCGUGCUACACACAAGUCGUACAGCUUUUGGAUGCACCAACAGGAACGGAGGCUAUCCUGCCAUAUACAUACAUUUUGCAUUGAUUUUUUCAGAGCUCUAUGAUUUCUAACGGAACACCAUAUGACGGACAAGAUGACCAAUUUAAAGCUUUGGAGAAGCUGGGUUUUCAACAAAAAUUUCAUUAGUUUUAGAUCUUUUUGUAUUUGGUUUUACAAUGUUAACAUUUUGGUAUCAAACAAGUUACUUUUUGUUGGAUUAUGUUCGAAAAUUAAAAUUGACACUUUUUCA